UACGUAGGGACCAAGCGUUGUUCGGAUUUACUGGGCGUAAAGGGCGCGUAGGCGGCGUGGUAAGUCACUUGUGAAAAUCUCUGAGCUUAACUCAGAACGGCCAAGUGAUACUGCUGUGCUAGAGUGCAGAAAGGGGCAAUCGGAAUUCUUGGUGUAGCGGUGAAAAUGCGUAGAUAUCAAGAGGAACACCUGAGGUGAAGACGGGUUGCUGGGCUGACACUGACGCUGAGGCGCGAAAGCCAGGGGAGCAAAACAGG
rnacentral:rRNA from 1 species